rnacentral:rRNA from 1 species
ACCAGCCAUGCCGCGUGCAGGAUGAAGGCGUUAUGCGUUGUAAACUGCUUUUAUAUAGGAAGAAAUAGACCUUGCGAGGUAAGUUGACGGUACUAUAUGAAUAAGCACCGGCUAACUCCGUGCCAGCAGCCGCGGUAAUACGGAGGGUGCAAGCGUUGUCCGGAUUUAUUGGGUUUAAAGGGUGCGUAGGCGGUUUAUUAAGUCAGUGGUGAAAGACGGUCGCUCAACGAUUGCAGUGCCAUUGAUACUGGUAGACUUGAGUGAGAUUGAGGUAGCUGGAAUGGAUAGUGUAGCGGUGAAAUGCAUAGAUAUUAUCCAGAACACCAAUUGCGUAGGCAAGUUACUAAGUCUCAACUGACGCUGAGGCACGAAAGUGUGGGUAUCAAACAGGAUUAGAUACCCUGGUAGUCCACACUGUAAACGAUGAUAACUAACUGUUGGCUUUCGGGUCAGUGGUACAGAGAAAUCGUUAAGUUAUCCACCUGGGGAGUACGCCGGCAACGGUGAAACUCAAAUGAAUUGACGG